AGAACCUUACCAGCCCUUGACAUGGUCAGACGAUUUCCAGAGAUGACUUACGCUGAAACAGGUGUGACGAGCGCAACCCUCGCCUUUAGUUGCCAUCGGGAUGUCAAGUACCAUGGCCCUUAUGGGCUGGCUACAUACAUGGUGGUGACAAGGGCAGCUAGACCGCGAGGUCAUGCUUCCCAAAAAGCCAUCUCAGUUCGGAUUGCACUGCAACUCGGGUGCAUGAAGUUGGAAUCGCUAGUAAUCGAGAUCAGCAUGCUGCGGUGAAUACGUUCCCGGGCCUUGUACACACCGCCGUCACACCAUGGGAGUUGGUUCUACCCGAAGCCGGUGCGCUAACCGUAAGGAAGCAGCCGACCACGUAGGGUCAGCGACUGGGGUGAAGUCGUACAAGGU
rnacentral:rRNA from 1 species